GACGAACGCUGGCGGCGUGCUUAGCACAUGCAAGUCGAACGGAAAGGCCCUGCUUUUGUGGGGUGCUCGAGUGGCGAACGGGUGAGUAACACGUGAGUAACCUGCCCUUGACUUUGGGAUAACUUCAGGAAACUGGGGCUAAUACCGGAUAGGAGCUCCUGCUGCAUGGUGGGGGUUGGAAAGUUUCGGCGGUUGGGGAUGGACUCGCGGCUUAUCAGCUUGUUGGUGGGGUAGUGGCUUACCAAGGCUUUGACGGGUAGCCGGCCUGAGAGGGUGACCGGCCACAUUGGGACUGAGAUACGGCCCAGACUCCUACGGGAGGCAGAAGUGGGGAAUAUUGCACAAUGGGCGGAAGCCUGAUGCAGCAACGCCGCGUGCGGGAUGACGGCCUUCGGGUUGUAAACCGCUUUCGCCUGUGACGAAGCGUGAGUGACGGUAAUGGGUAAAGAAGCACCGGCUAACUACGUG
rnacentral:rRNA from 1 species